GUGCUGAGGGGAUAAGAGGACUGAACUGCACUUGAACUGGAAAAAAUGCACCAGAGCAGCUCGACCAGCUGCAUCAAAUCAUGUCUUAAGAAAAUCAUCCACCCUCGCUGAUUCAGACUGACAGAGGCAAGCUGUCAUUUCAGGCAUAAUCGUCACGCCUUCCUCCGCCUCAUGCGUCUCCAGUCACUUGAUCCAGAGCCCAGGACAAGCUCAUCUAAAGCCCACUCCUCUUCACAUCCAGAUCCUCAGCUCCCUCUUCAUCUCAUCACCACCAAUACCACCACCAGCGUCUAGACUAUAUGG